rnacentral:misc_RNA from 1 species
AAAGUCGUAACAAGGUUUCCGUAGGUGAACCUGCGGAAGGAUCAUUAUUCUUGCCGCCUGUGCCGCGAGGUUGGAGUGAUCCAACCUCGAGAUUCAGGCAGUAACACCCACCCUUUGUUUACUGAAUCAUCGUGUUGCUUUCGGCCAUGGCCCAGCCGAUAGCCCAAAUUGCCAAACCUAUGACUGAAUCGUGCCUUAAAAAUUGUCUGAGUACACUUGGGAAAUAAAAAGCAAAACUUUCAACAACGGAUCUCUUGGUUCUG